CAAUAGCGUAUAUUAAAGUUGUUGCAGUUAAAAAGCUCGUAGUUGAAUUUUUGCUUGCCGCCGAUGUCGGAACUUCCGUACGUUCGGCGGCGUGCAUCCUUGGGUGGAACCUGUGUGGCAUUAGGUUGUCGUGCAGGGGAUGCUCAUCGUUUACUGUGAAAAAAUUAGAGUGUUCAAAGCAGGCUUACACCGUUGAAUAUAUUAGCAUGGAAUAAUAAGAUAGGACCUUGGUACUAUUUUGUUGGUUUGCGCACCGAGGUAAUGAUUAACAGGGACAGUUGGGGGUAUUCGUAUUCCAUUGUCAGAGGUGAAAUUCUUGGAUUUCUGGAAGACGAACUACUGCGAAAGCAUUUACCAAGGAUGUUUNCAUUAA
rnacentral:rRNA from 1 species